rnacentral:pre_miRNA from 1 species
CUGACUUUGAGUUUCUCAUCAGGGCACAGCGGGCAAAGCUGGGGACCCAGGGAGAGACGUAAGUGAAGGGAGAUG